AUUGAACGCUGGCGGCAGGCUUAACACAUGCAAGUCGAACGAGUGGCGGACGGGUGAGUAAUGCUUGGGAAUCUAGCUUAUGGAGGGGGAUAACUACGGGAAACUGUAGCUAAUACCGCGUACCAUAGGAUGAGCCCAAGUGGGAUUAGCUAGUUGGUGAGGUAAUGGCUCAACAAGGCGAGGAUCCCUAGCUGGUCUGAGAGGAUGAUCAGCCACAAUGGGACUGAGACACGGCCCAGACUCUUACGGGAGGCAGCAUGGGUGAAGAUUGCACAAUGGGCGCAAGCCUGAUGCAGCCAUGCCGCGUGUAUGAAGAAGGCCCUAGGGUUGUAAAGUACUUUCAGUCGGGAGGCGUUACCGACAGAAGAAGCACCGGCUAACUCCGUGCCAGCAGCCGCGGUAAUAC
rnacentral:rRNA from 1 species